GCUAACAACAACAACAACAAAGGCAGUAAAAGCGAUGUCGUUUUUGCAGCCAAAGUGAUGGACAAGAAAGAGCUAGCGUCGAGGAGUAAAGAAGGGAGAGCUAGGACCGAGAUGGAAAUACUCGAAUUGUUAGACCAUCCAUUUUUACCUUCGCUUUACGCCGUUAUCGAUUCCCCUAAAUGGUUCUGUCUGUUGACGGAGUUUUGUCCAGGCGGCGACCUUCAUGUCCUCCGUCAACGUCAACCUCUCAAAUGUUUCCCCGAUUCCGCCGUCAGGUACGUCCUCCGUUAAAAGAAAAAAAAACGUUUCCUUCUUUGUUUUUGGAUAUUUGAGAGUGAUGAUCGGGCAAAAUGAACUCAAAAGGACGGGGGCCCCAAUCUACUGUAAAUCGGAUUAGAUUCAUUUCGUUGUUUUUGGCUAUGAUUAACGGUAGAUCCGGGGGAUUGGCUCGGGCUACUAAGGUCAAAACAUGUUUGAGAUUUUGACUUUUUCAGCUAGUAAACCAAUAACUUUCAAACGCGUAUCCAAGUACAUUUAUGAACAAUAGUGCCUAAAAUAUCGCAUCAAGGCCACCUUGACCCGUUCUAAUUUUUGGGUAAAAGCGCCAAUUAAAUUACUCCUGUUGCCUUAUUAUAUUCUUAAAAAUACUUAGGGAAAGCCAGCUCAGCUUAAUAACACGGCGGACAAAGCAAUAUCAUGAUCCCAUCAUUUAGUAUUUCUUUUCAAUAAUAAUUAAUUAAUUAUUAAAGAACGGGUAAAAUGAGAUGAUAAAGAUCUCUUUUUAAGUUCGAUUUUCAGUAUGAAGCAUUUUAAAUUUAGUACUUACAGACCCCAGAACCAAAAAGAAAAUAAAUAAUUAUUAAAUCUUGUAUUAUGUUAUUCUAUAACUUUAUUUUCUAGGCUUAACUUAGGUACCUUUAAUACAUGUGUGCAUGUCUAAUACUUACUAUAUGAAGUUACUCCUCACGUUUGUGAGCUUUAUUUAUAAAUUUAUAUAUGUUAAAGUAAAUUAUUAUGAGUGAGAAAUUUAGUAGAAUAGGAUUAGCUCCAAAGCAAAGUUGUGCAUCUUAAAUAGUAUUAUGUGCUUCCAGAUUGUAUUAAUUAGCAAAAAGUGAAGCCAUUAGUUUUAUGUUAUUUAUUUAUUUAUUAUUUUUAAAAAAACAAAUACAUUUGGAUAGAAAAUUUUUUACUUUAUAUUCACUCAUCUUCAACGUUUAACUCGAAUAACAUGGGUAAUCGAAUAAUAAACUUUUUCCCUUUUGUUUGACCUCAGGAAAUUCAGUUUUAUGUUGCUUUGACUUUUCUGUACUUGAAUCUACCUUGUUCAGUAUAAAAUUUACUUCUGCAACUAUAUAAAAAAUUUAGGAAAGAAUUGAAUAUAGGAUACAGCCGGUUUCCGAGCUCUUAGAGUUGAAUACCCUUUUUCUUUUCUGGAUUUCUGGGAUUUGUUUUAGCAUCUUUGAUGAUGGAUGGAUGGAUGGUAGACCCUGUUUUCAUUUCAUUUUAUUUUAUUUUAUAAAGCUCUCCGGUCCCUCUCUAGUUAGUCUCUUGUCUGUGUCACUACCACCUAGCCAUCCAUUACUAAUAAUGACAACGGUGACAAGAUGUUCAUAUAACCACCAUUUAUUUAGGGGGAAUUAGCUUUCAAAUCAAAGAAAUCAUUAUUAUUAUUUGCUUCGACUUUGAAUGGAUCUUGUAGUUCAAGAAGGUAAGGUUCAAGAAAUAACAACAAACUUUAUGCAAAUAGUUCCGCUUUGAUAAUGAACACUGAGUCGUUACAUGAUUGAUAAAAAUAUUGUUUCCUUUAUGCAAUUGUACAAUACUACAUGAUUGAGAAAUUCUAUAAGCUUAUUUUUCAUUUAUGUGCUAUUGCUUUGUUCUAGUAGAUUCAGUACUUAAUUUGAUAUUCACACCCACCAUAAUUUUAUUAGUAUUUCCACCGUUAAUGAUUCAGAUUCAGCUAUGAAUGAUUGUAAGAUACCCAAAAUACUAGGGAACAUCUAGGAAGAGUGCAAGGGGAAUAUGCUUCAAUGUAAGGACACAAGUUAGAGAAACUUUUGAUUGCUUUACAUCUCCCUGUUGAAGAUUUUUGCCUCAUUACAUCCAUCUCUUGCAUGAAAAGAUUCUGAGGGAACCUGGAAAACAAGACACGUAGGUCCCUUAUAGUCUAUAUAAUGUAGUAGAGGUUGAAGCAAAAUAAUUUCUUGUCUUAGUUUAGUGUGUAAGCAAGUUUAAAACCGUAGUGUAUGAAUGAUAAUAGUAGUAGGGUCCUUUAUGUCCCUUGGUUAAUGUGAUCAUAAAGUUCAUGGCACUAUGAGCAUCUCAAUUAUUUUCUUGUCUAUUAUUUUUCUUUCUUUAACUCCACCUAUCAAUGGACCCUGGCUCGAGAUUUUAGUAUUAUCAAGUUGUUGAUCUUAAUUAGUUUAAUGAGAUACUGAUGAAACUGAUUAAAAUUAUAGGUAGUUGAUUGCUUUGCUUAUUCUUGGUGUCUCCAGGUUCUAUGCAUCGGAGGUGGUGGUGGCUUUAGAGUACCUCCAUAUGAUGGGGAUUGUUUACCGUGAUCUAAAGCCUGAAAACGUGUUGGUUCGAUCAGAUGGUCACAUUAUGCUCACGGAUUUCGACCUUUCAUUGAAAUGCGAUGAGUCCACAUCAACGCCCCACAUUGUUUCCGAUCAAAAACCGCCGGUACCAGGUCUGCGGACUG
rnacentral:lncRNA from 1 species